rnacentral:rRNA from 1 species
GAUGAACGCUAGCUACAGGCUUAACACAUGCAAGUCGAGGGGAAACGACAUUGAAGCUUGCUUCGAUGGUCGUCGACCGGCGCACGGGUGAGUACGCGUAUCCAACCUGCCUCUGACCAAGGGAUAACCCGUCGAAAGUCGGCCUAAUACCUUAUGCAGUCGUCGGAAGUCAUCUGAUGACGACGAAAGAUUUCAUCGGUGAGAGAUGGGGAUGCGUCUGAUUAGCUUGUUGGCGGGGUAACGGCCCACCAAGGCAACGAUCAGUAGGGGUUCUGAGAGGAAGGUCCCCCACAUUGGAACUGAGACACGGUCCAAACUCCUACGGGAGGCAGCAGUGAGGAAUAUUGGUCAAUGGGCGAGAGCCUGAACCAGCCAAGUAGCGUGCAGGAUGACGGCCCUAUGGGUUGUAAACUGCUUUUAGGCGGGGAUAAAGUGAGGGACGUGUCCUUCAUUGCAGGUACCGCAUGAAUAAGGACCGGCUAAUUCCGUG